GUCGGCAACGACCACCCAGGGCCGGAAAGUUGGUCAAACUCGGUCAUUUAGAGGAAGUAAAAGUCGUAACAAGGUCUCCGUAGGUGAACCUGCGGAGGGAUCAUUA
rnacentral:rRNA from 2 species